CGCGGUUCCUGGGCGGCGGCGCGGGCGCGGUUCCUGUCGAGUGGAGUGGGGAUUUUUUCGCAGUGGGCCCGAUCUGUAAGACACGUGAAAGUAGACGGAGACGGCGUCCAGGCGUAUUUGUGAGCAACGGGAACGAGAAUCGGGUAAAACUGAGUAAGAAUAAAAACUAAGGGUAGCAACGAGUACCGUGGCGAAACUAAGGGGACCAAUGUAAAAAACCCUUUUUAUUAUACAUAAGACUAAAAAAAUAAAAAAAACUUUAACUUGAUUGGGAUUUAUUAAACUCAUCCAAUCUCACGCAAUCUACAUUCACGCAAUCUACAUGGAUUAAGAUCUAAUUAAACAAACCCUAAUGAAUCGGAAGGACGGUAAGGCAGCGCGCUGACAGUGCAUGAACGGCGGCGGCACCCGGCCGGGAGGUGGAAUCGAGCGAUGAACGACGGCGCAGCAGCGAAAACUCGAAGCAAAAGAGCAGGCGAUGGCAAGGAAAUGGGCCGGGGGGAAGCUAGCCAUGGGCGUACGUACGCGUACCUCGGCGGGUCUGGAGCUCCCGUUCCCGAUGGCCUCGGAUGAUCCGAUCUCGUCUGCUUCCUGCAGCUAUAGCUAUAGCUUGCUUCUUCCGGACGAAACAGUACGAAGGCCUAGCUAAGCCUGCCUCGAUCGGGGGGGAUGCUUAUUUGGUGAACUCCCCGAAAUCUGAUGGAGCGAGCAGGUGCCAACAGCAGCGUGGACUGGAGGACCAGUGCGUGACGAGGGCAGGGGCAGGGAGAGAGAGCCAGAGAGAGGGAGGGAGCUCAGGCCCUGGCUGGCUUUAUACGCACAGCAGGUCAGCAGCCAGCCAGCGCCAAGUGCAGGCACAUGAGCAGGGAGGGAGGGGCGCGCUUGGGUCGUUG
rnacentral:misc_RNA from 1 species